UACGAAGGGGGCUAGCGUUGCUCGGAAUUACUGGGCGUAAAGCGCACGCAGGCGGCUUUCUAAGUCGGGGGUGAAAUCCUGGAGCUCAACUCCGGAACUGCCUUCGAUACUGGAAAGCUCGAGUCCGGGAGAGGUGAGUGGAACUGCGAGUGUAGAGGUGAAAUUCGUAGAUAUUCGCAAGAACACCAGUGGCGAAGGCGGCUUACUGGUCCGGUUCUGACGCUGAGGCGCGAAAGCGUGGGGAGCAAACAGG
rnacentral:rRNA from 1 species